rnacentral:lncRNA from 1 species
GGUGAAGGAGAAACCAAAGAACAAGCUAAGGAUUUGCGUUGAAAUGGAGUUGCUUGUAUUCCUCCUUUGCACCCUUUAAUGGUGGUUUGAGGUAUGCGUGCGGUGGUGCCAGCGUUGAGGAAAUAGAUAAUUGGAUUGCUGGUGUCGGCAUUGUGCGAAUGGAUAACUAGAUUUUGACGGAGGUGGUGGUGAUGUGGUAGGGUGGAGGGUGGAUGACUGGAUUUGGUCGGAAGGAGUGUUUGUGGAGUGGUGGCGCGGUUAGUGAUUUUAGAGAUCGGUGGGAGUGGGAUAGGGGUUGGGGUUUUGGAUUUUGGAGGAUGGUAAACUAUUUUUCUUUUAUAUUUUCUUUUAUAUUUUAAUUUUUCUUAUUUG